rnacentral:rRNA from 1 species
AAUUUAUUUUACAAUACUGUUAUUGAAUAUUGCGUGUAUCGUAUGUGCAACAUUUGAUGAACGCGUGCAUUUUUCUUCUGGUAGGACGUUGCGAUCCGUUAGAUUAUCAAUCUAUGUUUUACAGUACAGUUCAUUGAUACAUGUAUAAUUUUAUAUUUUAUAUGAUAAUAUUAAUGAUACUGUAUAUACUGAUUGAUUUGACUGACGGUAUAGAAAAUGGUUAAAAGUCGCUAUAGUAGCGUUAAAGGCUAAACAAAUGUAAAUAUUGUGUUAAUGCUAUAAUUGUUGUUUUUCGGAAUAAUGAUUGUAGUAUAUUCGGUAAUCGAUAUUUUUUUUUAUCAAUUCCGAGCCGUUUUUACAUUGUUAGUUUGGCAAUAUAUCUUUAACUGACUUUAUUAUUAUUUAAUAAUAAAACCAAUCUGCAACGCUAUAGCUUUGGGUACUUUUAGGACCCGUCUUGAAACACGGACCAAGGAGUCUAGCAUGUACGCAAGCCAUUGGGAUUUUUAAACCUAUAGGCAUAAUGAAAGUAAAAAUAUUAUAUGUAUAAUAUAAUAAAGGAAGAUG